AAAAAAUUACUGCUUCGUAUUAUUUCAUAUGUAGUCAUGUAUCCGAAAAUUGUGGAAAGAAUUUGUGACUUGUACUUUUAUUGACAUUUACAAUAUUUAUUGCUUAGGCCAAUAGUAAUGAAGAUCUCUGCGUGUAUAUUUGUUGAGGUUUGCAGAAACUAGGAUUAAAACAUAUCCUUCAAGAUUUUGUUUGCUAUUUUAGUACCCAGCCAGCGCUCGAAGGACUAGCAAAAGUUCGCCGUAGGGAUGGAGACGCGAAAACGUAAAAUGAAAUUCCAUUACCCACUCAGGAAGAAAUUCGUCAUGUGGUACUUUACGUCAGCUUAAGUCUGCAGAAAUGUUCAGUGAAUUCCAAGCUCCAUAUAAAAUAAACACAGUAUCGUAAAACGAUUUGAAAGUGGUCCAAAAUUAAAGAACAAACCUCAAAUUUCAAAAUAGCGAAGAUGUAGUGAAAAAUUCGAGACUGAUAACAAAAUGGCUUGGAUUUUCGUUGAGAAAUCAUAACAUCAAAUAAAGCGGGAAUUAAAUUUGGAUCCAUGUAUAAGCUAAGUAGAUAAAAAAGAAAUAAUUUAAGAGUGCACUGAUUCUGUGCGAAGAGCAAGACUAAUAUCGCGACUUAAAUAAAUUAUACUGGCGAACAAGCUAUAGACAAUUCACCAUCGAAGGACAAUCACGACCCGAUAUUUACCGAUGUUGAUGUUGAUAAUAAGAUCUUAAAACCGUGUCAAAUAAUUUCAUCUAUUACCGUAGUAAAUAAUAAAAUUAUUUCUGAAUUUCAUCUUCAAAUUUACCCUCAAAAUGGAUCACCAGGGAGAAGCAUACUGUAACCUUCUUUCCGUUUACCAAACUAUAUGAAUGCAAAAAUGUAGUGUAGUCGCACUAAAGACUCCCAUAACAGACGGUGUUUGAGUGUAUGGCGAGGCUCAUCGGAAUCAGGCUAUCAGGAGAUUGACUGCCGCUCCAGUAUUCAGGAAGCUUUGACUUGUAACUGACAGCAAAUGCGUUCCGCUUUGUUGUUUGUAAAAAUUCAGCUAAAAUGAGGGAAAAACGCAAAUGGUGACUUUCUGAGAAAAGGAGCAUUGAGGCACAGCUCAAGUAAGAGCCAGGAUGGAGAUGUCAUUAUAGUAAUUUCACGGCGAGCAGGGAGUUCUCAGUCUACAAUGAU